UACGAAGGGGGCUAGCGUUGUUCGGAAUUACUGGGCGUAAAGCGUGCGCAGGCGGCUUCUCAAGUCAGGGGUGAAAGCCCAGAGCUCAACUCUGGAAUUGCCUUUGAGACUGAGUGGCUUGAGUACGGAGAGAGGUGAGUGGAAUUCCCAGUGUAGAGGUGAAAUUCGUAGAUAUUAGGGAAGAACACCGGGAUGGCGAGGGCGGCU
rnacentral:rRNA from 1 species